ensembl:lncRNA
ACUUGAUGUAUCUGCUUGUCUGGAUGGAGAAAAUGUCCAUCUGUUGCAGGUGAAUAGCCUCACGAAGCAUGCUGAGAGAGGAUUUCUGUGUUCUCGGUUCACCAGGGGGCGCCGUCUUGAUUUUGCAGACCUUGUCGUGCCCAAUUUUCUCCUGAUCCCCAAUUUCUUAACGACUAGCUGUUCCCUUGGGCUGAAGGCGUUAAAUUGCACAACAACUCCUACAUUCAUUACUGGGAAGUCAAACAGAGAGGCUUUGCAGUGGGAGAAAAUGAACUGGAAUGAAGUGCAAAUCAAUGAUUCAUCAGGACAUUCAGAAAAACAUGGAAACUCCUGACAGAGCUCCAGUCUGGAUCCAGAACACCUGAGAAGAGAUGAUGCCAGCCCCUCAGAGGAACUCAGAUGAUGCUAACCCAGAGACAACAUACAGAACUACCACAUUUUGCUAUAAGUUUGAUUGCAUAAUUGCUGUUAAUAGUGUUAAUCGUCUGUUUGUUUACAUCUUUUAUUGAUUUUUCUGAACAUUUCUGCCGUAUGCACAUAAACUGACAGUCACCACUGAUAAGCUACUCCUAAAUAUUGUAGAAACUUAAUUUUCUGUAAAGUUGCUUUGUAAUGAUUUGUAUUGUAAAAAACGCUAUACUGUACAAAUAAACUUGAAUUGAAAUUGAAUAAUGCAGAGAAAACAUGGCGGAUUUCAUCAGAGAUUGCGGAGAGAAUAGUGACUUACAUCCAGAUGUCAUUCAAUUAUUCUGUUCAGUGUGUAUUUGGCUUAAAAGCAAGAGUGU